rnacentral:rRNA from 1 species
UACAGAGGGCUCAAGCGUUGUUCGGAUUCAUUGGGCGUAAAGGGUGCGUAGGUGGCGCGCUAAGUCAGGUGUGAAAUUUCGGAGCUUAACUCCGAAACUGCAUUUGAUACUGGCAUGCUUGAGGACUGGAGAGGAGACUGGAAUUCACGGUGUAGCAGUGAAAUGCGUAGAGAUCGUGAGGAAGACCAGUGGCGAAGGCGGGUCUCUGGACAGUUCCUGACACUGAGGCACGAAGGCCAGGGGAGCAAACGGG